UACAUGAGUGGCAAGCGUUAUCCGUAAUUAUUGGGCGGAAAGGAUGUGUAGAUGGUAAAAGAAGUUGCAACUUACUAUAACAGAUAAUUGGGUCUUUUGCAAAACCUUUUUACUAGAGUUUUUAUAAAGUAUAUGUCGUUUGUAAAUUAGUGAUAAAAUACUUUGAGUUUACAAGCACCUUCAAUGGCGUAAGCAAUACACUGAUAUAAACUGACAUUGAGACAUUAAAGUAUAGGUAUCAAAUAGG
rnacentral:rRNA from 1 species